AUUUUCGGAUAAUCGCAUACUUGCUUGUCAAGUAUGAGGAAAGUCCAUGCUAGCACCAGCUGUGAUGCUGGUAGUGUUUGUGCUAGGCGAAGACAUAAGCCUAGGGACGAGAAAUCGUUACGGCGGUCGAAAAAGCUAAGUCCACGGAUAAGCUUUACUAGACCUGAAAGUGCCACAGUGACGGAGUUUUCCUGGAAACGGGAAAAGUGGAACGCGGUAAACCCCUCAAGCUAGCAACCCAAAUUUUGGUCGGGGCAUGGGAUGCCUGGAAUCCGAACGGAGCAUCCUGACCGGGAUACCGGUAGACAGAUGAUUAUCGAAGGAAAUAAGACCUAGUUAUUUCCGGAACAGAACAUGGCUUAUAGAA
rnacentral:RNase_P_RNA from 1 species